CUUAUCUGUUGCCUGUCUCCACAUCUCAGAGGUUCAUGGGUGUUACAUUAUUGUAACAACCUUCCUCGUCUGCUGUCUCCUCACUGCUGUGAUUUGACCUACUUGGCGACACUUCCCUAAGUAUUAGAAUCUUCUCUUAUGAUGCCAACAUGAGGACUUCACUUCCGAUACUCCCCAUGCAAGUAUGAGAAACUCUUGCUGGAGAAGUAGCAUAGUGACAGAGGGUAAGAGAAUUAACUGGUGGAGCACGCUAUUGCUGUCCUUGUCACUUAGUACUCUGCUUAGACCUGCAUGCUACUGUGUUGAGUACUGCUUUUUGCAUAAAACAUUGUCUUUUCAGAGAAAAGGCAGUGAGUUUUUACUAUUUGUAGGGUUUGCAGGGGCCUAAAUAGUGUUUUAAACACUAUAGGGUCAGGAAUAAACAUUAGUGUUCCUGACCCUAUAGUGAUCAUUUAACCCCUUAAGGACACAUGACAUGUCAUGAUUCCCUUUUAUUCCAGAAGUUUGGUCCUUAAGGGGUUAAAUCAUCUAUGUCCAGAUUAGGGGUUACAACCCAUUCAUGGAAUUACUCCAAUGUUUCUUCAGAGAAAUACCUCUCUGGGGGCAAAUGCUUGGAAUAUUCAUUUGUUGACUGCAUUUUCUUGCUGGGAUGAAGAUUGACCAAUCCUGGCAUCUUCAUUAUCUUUGAUAGAAAGACAGGCCAAUCUAGCACAUACAUCCCAAGUAUUCUUAUUUAGGAUGUACAGGUUCUAUAUAGGGCCCAAAUCCUUCUUUUCUCUCCGAAUGCCCCCUUUUGUAAGUGCUGAUUAUUUUUGGUGUUCCUGAGUGAAUAACAGAGCUCCACAACAAUAAUUCUUACAAUAACUUGUCUUUAAACUAAUAAUAAAUGGGUUUAGAAAACAGUUUUGAAAUAAGAUAGUACAUUUUAGUUAUCUUGCUCUUCUAAAUUACAUUUUACUUGCAUAAAUCGUUAGUAGUAAGUGUACAGCCUGUGUAAAUUUGCUGUCCCCUGAAUAUAACGCAACACACAGCCAUUAAUGUCUAAACUGUUGGCAACAAAAGUGAGUACACCCCUAAGUGGAAAUGUCCAAAUUAGGCCCAAAGUGUCAAUAUUUUGUGUGGCCACCAUAAUUUUCCAGCACUGCCUUAACACUCAUGAGCAUGAAGUUUACCAGAGCUUCACAGGUUGUCACUGGAGUCCUCUUCCACUUCCCCAUGAUAACAUCAUGGAGCUGGUGGAUAUUAGAGACCUUGCGCUCCCCCAUCUUCCGUUUGAGGAUGUCCCACAGAUGCUCAAUAGGGUUUAGGUCUGGAGACAUGCUUGGCCAGCCCAUCACCUUUACCUUCAGCUUCUUUAGCAAGGCAUCGGUCGUCUUGGAGGUAUGUUUCGGGUCAUUAUCAUGAUGGAAUACUGCCCUGCGGCCCAGUCUCCGAAGGGAGGGGAUCAUGCUCUGCUUCAGUAUGUCACAGUACAUGUUGGCAUUCAUGGCUCCCUCAAUGAACUGUAGCUCCCCAGUGUCGACAGCACUCAUGCAGGCCCAGACCAUGACACUCCCACCACCAUGCUUGACUGUAGGCAAGACACACUUGUCUUUGUACUCCUCACCUGGUUGCCACCACACACGCUUAACACGAUCUGAACCAAAUAAGUUUAUCUUGGUCUCAUCCAACCACAGCACAUGGUUCCAGUAAUCCAUGUCCUUAGUCUGCUUGUCUUCAGCAAACUGUUUGCGGGCUUUCUUGUGCAUCAUCUUUAGAAGAAGCCAUACAGACCAAUUUGAUGCAGUGUGUGGCGUAUGGUCUGAGCACUUACAGGCUGACCCACCACUCCUUCAACCUCUGCAGCAAUGCUGGCAGCACUCAUAUGUAUAUUUCCCAAAGACAACCUCUGGAUAUGAUGCUGAGCACGUGCACUCAACUUCUUUGGUCGACCAUGGCGAGGCCUGUUCUGAGUGGAACCUGUCCUGUGAAACCGUUGUAUGGUCUUGCCCACCAUGCUGCAUCUCAGUUUCUGGGUCUUAGCAAUCUUCUUAUAGCCUAGGCCAUCUUUAUGUAGAGCAACAAUUAUUUUAUUCAGGUCCUCAGAGAGUUCAUUUACAUUAGGUGCCAUGUUGAACUUCCAGUGACCAGUAUGAGAGAGUGUGAGAGCGAUAACACCAAAUUUAACACCUGAGACCUUGUAAAACUAACGAGUCACAUGACACCAUGGAGGGAAAAUGGCUAAUUGGGCCCAAUUUGGACAUUUCCACUUAGGGGUGUACUCACUUUUGUUGCCAACGGUUUAGACAUUAAAGGGAUACUAUAGUCACCAGAACAACUACAGCUUAUUGAAUUUGUUCUGGUGAGUAGAAUCAUUCCCUUCAGGCUUUUUGCAGUAAACACUGUCUUUUCAGAGAAAAUGCAGUGUUUACAUUACAGCCUAGUAAUAACUUCACUGGCCGCUCCUCAGAUAGCUGUUAGAGAUCCUUCCUGGGUCAUAGCUGCCUAAAAUGCUUCCAAACAUUCAGUAUCUCCUCCCUUUGCAUGCAGACACUGAAUUUUCCUCAUAGAGAUUCAUUGAUUCAAUUCAUCUCUAUGAGAAGAUGCUGAUUGGCUAGGGCUGUGUUUGAAUUGUGCUGGCUCUGCCCCCGAUCUGCCUCUUUGUCAGUCUCAGCCAAUUCUACAGGGAGGCACUGUGAUUGGAUCAGACUACUACUUCUGCUGAUGUCAGCAGACAGUUGGCAGGUCUAAAGGAAACAGUGACAAAGCCAGCAGCUUCAGGCUUGAAUACAAGUAAGAUUUACUAUAUCUAGAGAGGCAUGAGGGGACCAGGGUGGCUAGAUGGUGGUUUAACCCUAUAGGGUCAGGAAUACAUGUUUGUGUUCCUGACCAUAUAGUGCUCCUUUAAUGGCUGUGUGAUGAGUUAUUUUGAGGGGACAGCAAAUUUACACUGUUAUGCAGGCUGUACACUUACUACUUUACAUUGUAGCAGAGUGUCAUUUCUUCAGUGUUGUCACAUGAAAAGAUAUAAUAAAAUAUUUACAAAAAUGUGAGGGGUGUAUAUAUAUAUAUAUAUAUAUAUAUAUAUACUGAGUUUCUACAAAAUAAUAACAAAUAUUCUCUCUCUCUCUCUCUAUAUAUAUAUACAUAUAUAUAUAUAUAUAUAUAUAUAUAUAUAUAUAUAUAUACACAUACACACACACAUACACAUUUAUAUAUAUAUUGUGAUAAAGUGAAGGCAGAUAGGCCUUUUAACCCCAGGGGAAGUACGUGUAGUUUGUGUGUUGCACAACACAAAGCAUUGUUUAGUUAUGGGCCCCUGGGGUGGAGCAUUUGGAGAGAAGGGUGGGCCAAUGCUCCACUCCACAGUUUAGUGGUUUUCUGGGGAGACAUAGAUCCAAGCCAGGGUUUUUUGGACCGUCUCCAACCCACUGCUCAGCUGCAGUUAAUGAGCUGUUGCAGUGGGAAUAAACCCCUCCCGGCUAGGCAGGAAAAGGAGAGGGAUUGCUGGCUUCCUCCCAGGAAGCAGGUAGGAGAGAGGCUGUUCUCUCCAGAUAGAGAGUCAAGGAGACUAGGCACUGGGAGUGCAGAAAGGAAGCAGUCAAGGCUGGCUUGGAGCACUGGGAGUGCAGGAGGAAGCAGUCAAGGCUGGCUUGGAGCACUAGGAGUGCAGAAAGGAAAGCAGUCAGGGCAAGGCUGGCUUGGAGCACUGGGAGUGUAUGAGGAAGCAGUCAAGGCUGGCUUGGAGCACUGGGAGUGCAGAAAGGAAAGUAGUCAGGGCAAGGCUGGCUUGGAGCACUGGGAGUGCAGAAAGGAAAGCAACAGGCUAGCUAGCAGAGUGUUGCUAUCUAAUAAGGUUGGUGCAAUAUGUUUUUGUUAGUUUAACCCUGAUAGAGAGGGAUAUACAAAGUGAGUCAGUGCUCAGACGAGCUAGGUUUUUGUUUAAAGGGAAACCUGUUAUAUUUAUGUUUUCAUUUGCUGCUGCCUCAUAUGUAAACUUACAAAUAAAGUGCCUGGAAUGAAGUUGCAUUGAAAGACUGUGCAUGUUUUUGCCCUAGAGGACCGUGCUACCUGCAGACAAAGAUAUAUAUAUAUAUAUAUAUAUAUAUAUAUAUAUAUAUAUAAAAUAUUUAUUAUAUUUUUAAGAAACUCAAUAAAAAUGUAAAUGAACAAAAAAAAAAAACUUUAGAACAAGAAUUAUUGUAUAUUCUAGUUAGUUCAAUCUUCCAAACAAAGGAAUGCAGCUGAUCUAUACUGACUUUGCAUGAGUAAAAGUACUGCCAUUUCUCAGCAUCACAUCAUGCUGACAUACCUUCCAAUAUUUCAAAUGGACACAGAGAGACACUUUAAGUUUAUAGGUGUAAGUGAAAGUGUGGCCAGGGGCAAGGCUAUUUUGAGAUGACAAACAUCCCAAUGCAGCUCAAUGAGCAGUCUUUGCAGGGCAGGUGCUCUGAGCAAUUGUUGUCUCUUGAGUUUAGCUUUACUAGGCUAAACAAACCAGGAAGUAACAGGACCUGUUGUCUGCUUGAAAGCCAGGGGGUGUAACCAGGUUAAUUCAUAAAAGUGUAAAUUUCUACUGAAACCAGCACUUUUUGCAAAAUAAAAAAAACCAGAGGACACACUCUUCACAUAUAAAGCUUUUCAGCAAGCUAAAGUGUUUUAGGAGUCUGGAGGGUUCCCUUUAAAGGGACACUAUAGUCAACAGAACAACUACAGCUUAUUGUAUUUGUUCUGGUGAAUAGAAUCAUUACAUUCAAGCUCUUUGCAGUAAACACUGUCUUUUCAGAUAAAAUGCAGUUUUUACAUUACUGUGAUUUCCCUGCCGGCUUUGGCCCAUGGCCACCGCGGCCCACCGGGCAUUUGCCGGUGUACCCAAUGGCCAGUCUGGGCCUAGCUAUUAGAGAUCCUUCCUGGGGCAGUGCUGCCUAGUGUGCAUCACAACAUUCAGUGUCUCCACCCUCUGCAUGGAGACACUGAACUUUCCUCAUAGAGAUGCAUUGAUUCAAUUCAUCUCUAAGAGGAGAUGCUGAUUGGCCAGGGCUGUGUUUGACUUUUGCUGGCACUGCCCCUGAUUUGCCUCCUUAACAGUCUCAGCCAAUUCUAUGGGGAGGCAUUGUGAUUGGCUCAGUCCACCACUUCUGAUAAUGUCAGCAGGCAGAUCAAGGGCAGAGGCAGCAGCUGCAGACUUAAAUACAAGUACAAUUUUACUAUGUAUUUAUCGAGGCCAAUGGGGGAGAGGACGGGGGGGUUAGCUGGUGGUUUUAACACCAUAGGGUCAGAAAUACAUGUUUGUGUUCCUGACCCUAUAGUGAUCCUUUAAGGGCAAAAAUAAAGGAAAAAUUUAACUUACAUGUACUUACAUAUUAUGUCCUCCUGACAUAGGCUUGCCACAGAAAUAAAUGGUGUAUCCAAUGAGAAAGCGUUUGAGACAGGCAAUGACAUCUGCAUUAAAACUCCCUGAACUCUAAAAGCAAUCACCCACCACAAGUUUGAUGGCUACAUGGCCACUAAGCUGCUGGAUCCUCAAAGAAUAUUGAAACUGUCUACGCAACUGACAGGCAUCAUUUACAAACUAAACCAUGUGUUGCAAGCAAAUUACAAUAAUUUCACAGAAUUUAGUGACCCGAAGAAAACAAUUAAUUUGCCACUUCAGCAUUAAAUCAAUAUGGAUCAAAGUGUAACUUAGCAAAUUUUAUUAUUUUUUUGCAGCUACGCUUAUUAGUAAAAUCGUACAUGGUUUCACAGCUGGCAGUUAAGGAACAUAUCCCUCCAGGGCUUUUCUAACCUAAAGUUUCUGUAGAAGUAUUUUAUUUAUUUUUUGCAUUACCCCAUAUGUGCACUAGAGCAUUUCGGCCAUAACUCAAACAUAAAUUGCUAAAUGCUUUAUGUGUUUCCUACAGCAAAGGCUGGAAAUUCAUAAUUUAUUUAGACUGUCAGAAUAUGCCAGGAUGAUUGUUAAAAAAAAUUUAAAAAUAUAAAAUAUAGAUAAAUUCCAAACAGAGUGCACUCCGGAGGGUUGGAUUCAAUCAACCAACUUUUCUUUAUUUGUGCAGAAUAUAUAAGGAAAUGUCAACAUUUCUGUCUCUAAAAUGUAUAUAUUUUUGAUAAAUUUAAUUAUAGGCUUUUGCUUUUUUUCAGAGCUGAAAUUCGCUAAUGUAAGUCUGUUUAUGUAUUAAUAUUGUUAGAUGUCCUAGAGUCAUUGCCUUUCUCAUAACAGGAAUUCCCACCCAUGAUAUCCUGCUUGGUGUGCCUCUACAAC